GACGAACGCUGGCGGCGUGCUUAACACAUGCAAGUCGAACGGAAAGGCCCUGCUUUUGUGGGGUGCUCGAGUGGCGAACGGGUGAGUAACACGUGAGUAACCUGCCCUUGACUUUGGGAUAACUUCAGGAAACUGGGGCUAAUACCGGAUAGGAGCUCCUGCUGCAUGGUGGGGGUUGGAAAGUUUCGGCGGUUGGGGAUGGACUCGCGGCUUAUCAGCUUGUUGGUGGGGUAGUGGCUUACCAAGGCUUUGACGGGUAGCCGGCCUGAGAGGGUGACCGGCCAAAUUGGGACUGAGAUACGGCCCAGACUCCUACGGGGGGCAGCAGUGGGGAAUAUUGCAAAAUGGGCGGAAGCCUGAUGCAGCAACGCCGCGUGCGGGAUGACGGCCUUCGGGUUGUAAACCGCUUUCGCCUGUGACGAAGCGUGAGUGACGGUAAUGGGUAAAGAAGCACCGGCUAACUACGUG
rnacentral:rRNA from 1 species